UAUCAAUGGUGACUAUUUGUGAGCAGUU
rnacentral:sRNA from 1 species